AUCGUCUCCGUGUGAAGCUCCGUGUGAAGGUAACCUUCGCAGUGUGUAAUGUUUCCUGGCUAACAUCAGCUGUGUGCGGCUUAGUUUCAGCACGCACAGCACACAUCUGCCGCUCCAUAGUUCACGGUAACGGACUCACAGCUGGACCAACGAGGCCGACCGUUAAACUGUUGCCUUGCUGAUAGCCUCUGUGUGGACAGGGUGGAGUUCAACAUGUGGGCGUAGAUGGAGGGAGCAGCUGUGUAGGUGGACAGGUUUAUUUCUGGACUCCUGCUGAUGGUUUCUAUUGCGGGUUUGCACAUGACGUCAUGCUGUCAAGGUAGUGAUCACGUUCAUCAGAAUCAGAAAGUCUGUUGUUAUUGUCGCAGGUACAAAGAAAUUAAAAGCAGUCACUUAUAUGUGCUUAGACAUAAAAACUACAUAGAAAUGAUCACGACUUUUUCACCCUCACAACUCAAAUAUUACACAUUACAGGUGUGUGCAGCACUCAUCGAGGACAGAAAGAGAAUCUUUUUUUCAUCUCUUUCCUGUUUCUGACAGAAGACGAGGAACAAAAACAUGAUAAUUAACAGAUACAGUCAUCAGAUAAACAGUAUAAAAGUAUUCACCACCUUCAGCUUCUCCCUUCCAUCUGAAACUCUUCCUCCUCACUGAAGUUAGGCUUCUAAUGUGAAAAAUCCUACAUGAAUAUACUUGAUUCAUCUCGAUAUUGCCUC
ensembl:lncRNA